GUCCAUUUCUAAGAGUAAAGGCAGUGGGGGAGAUUCUAUUACCGCAAGAAGAGUAUAAGAUCACUGUGCACCAGGGAGCCAUACAAGUUGGUAUGGCACAUCUAUUGGCAUUUUCCCACUGUCUCCCUUACCCUUAUGGAGAUCACUGAGAAGAGGUAGACUACCCAUGAAUUCAACCUGGCCCAAAGAAGAAAGCUUCUUCAUCAUCUCUAUGUGACUAACAUCGGUCCUUGGGGCAGAUGGUUCCUUUGGCAAGAUACUAUGGUGGGCUUUAUUUCUGAAGUGCAGGUUAGAUCCUCUGGAGGGCAGAAACUGAGAUGGAAUUAAGAGUGCAAAUAUUUUACUGAAGAGUAAGUCCUGUGAAAGAGAAGCUGAAGAAGCAAUACUGAGAAGAGGGAAUCAUCAGAACAUGAUAAAGACCUUACAAUGUCUGUGCCAGCCCAACAAGAAGUUCCACAGUAAUGACUGCCCAUUGGAGGAGGACUGCAUGGUAAACAAAGGACUAGGCCCUUACGCCACUGCCACGCUCGUUGUUGGCUGGGCACCACCCAAAGAAGGGUCUAACCUCUGCUACCACUGCCUUGCUCAGUCAUGAACCAGGGUCUUUCCAAGAAGAAUUUGAACGUGGCUUGAACACUGAGGUGAAUCCUGAAGAAGUAGACAACUGGAGGCUGCCGGGUAGUCACCUUCUUUCUUCUGGUCAGCGAGUCUUUUCUCCAAGAUAUUUGGAAAUAGCUAGCUCCUCAAGGGCUCUGGUGGGCCUAAUUUCCUGAGGGAUAGUUCAGAGACAAAAUGGAGCCCCUGUCUCUGCAGUUGGUCUCUAUGCUACAGCUGGAACUCAUCAUUUUUCUCCUCCACUAUCCAUUCUAAAUUCUUUUCACUCUAUGUUGGCCUUGGCAGUUUUUCUGGAGUAGAAUUCCCCAUUAAACAUAAACUUCUCUGGCUAGGCCUGCUGCAUGUUUCCAUUUAUAUGGGCAAAGAGUGGCAAGAGAUGCUCAAAUUGGAUCACUUGAGUGCUACGUAUAUUCCUGCUUGUCUCUUAUACCAGGAAAUCUUCUUUCUCAUGCAUUUUAGGGUCAAUUAUGACAAGCUGAUGACUUCUUUUCUUGUUUGGUGAUCCCUGGACAUAAAUAUCCCAAAGUGUUCAAGGGGCAGCUGUAUCCUGUAUUUCAGGGAAUCUCUUGCUAUUUCCCUGGGUGAGUGCAUGCCCCCUUUAGAAAUGAGGGCUUCUCAUCCUUCAGAGAGCCCAGGCAGGAAUCUGCAGAGUACCCCAGUAGAUCUUUGGGAAUGAUAGUAAGUGGGGCCGAUUCUACUGCUAUCCCUUGGUCCCAGACCCAUGGGAACCUGAUGAUUCCUGAUGAAAAUGCGGUGCCACAGUGAGGUCUGAUUCAAUGAUUGUUCUGCUUCCUGGAGGAUGGUGCUGCAUCUCAUAGGGCACCUCUUGUGAGCUAGUGCAUCAGUUGCCCCUUCAGCAAGUUGCUCAACACUUUAAAACCCCAGCAGCUUCUGGGCAGUGUGGGAGAAGCAGUGUGUAAUAUGACUAAUAAAUUGCAUAAUCAUGGGCCCACCUUGCUCUUGUAUUACAGUUAAAGUGGGUUCUCUGGUUGGAUGUUGUGUGGAAUUCUAUGUCUAUAGGCAUUCCAUAAAUUCCCAGGUAGUGAUGCUUUCCUGUAGGUGGGAAAGGCAAAUCCAUAUCAGGAAUGUAAGUAUCUAUUCCCAUGAAAAGAAACUGCUGGCAUUUCCAACAUGGAAGAAUCCCAGUGAAGUCAGUUUGCGACCAAGUGGCCAGUUGGUCUUUUUGAGGAACACUGCCAUGUCAGGGGGUUAACAUUUGUCUCUGUGGUUGGCAGGUUAGAUAUUGGAAGUAUUAAUAGCUAGAUGGGCCUUGAUGAGUAACAGUCUCUGCUAUUGGGCUCAUGUGCAAUCUCUGUCUCAACUGCCACGGCCACUUUGCGUGUGCAUUCUGCCAGCAUUGCAGUGGACACAUUGACAAAGGUUAGCUAACAUAAACUCAG
rnacentral:lncRNA from 10 species